rnacentral:rRNA from 1 species
AAAGUAAAAUUUCGUGGAGGUCCGAACCCACGAGCGUUGAAAAGCUCGGGGAUGACUUGUGGGUAGCGGUGAAAUUCCAAUCGAGCCCGGAGAUAGCUGGUUCUCCCCGAAAUAGCUUUAGGGCUAGCCUCAAGGGGAGAGAUACGGAGGUAGAGCACUGAAUGUCCUAGGGGGUAUUGCACCUACCGAAGACUAUCAAACUCCGAAUGCCGUCAUCUUAUACUUGGGAGUCAGACUGUGGGUGAUAAGAUUCAUAGUCGAAAGGGCAACAGCCCAGAUCGUCAGCUAAGGUCCCUAAAUGUAAGUUAAGUGGUAAAGGAUGUGGGAUUGCACAGACAACCAGGAUGUUGGCUUAGAAGCA